AUGGCCCAAGAAAAAAAAAUGAUUCAACAUAUAUACGUAAAGGGUAAAAGAUAUUGGUUUAAGAAAAUAAGGUCCAAAACAAAACAAUCUUCUAAAACCCUAGCAAGCAAGAAGAAGGUACGAGCACGACGAAUGAAGAUGAAGACUCGACGGUGCUCGAGGAUUAGCGGAGGCGUUUUGAAGGCCUUUGUGGUUUCAGAUAUUGAAACCUUGGAAUUCCUUUUUCUCUCCUUUAUGCAACGAUCUUCACCAUGUACUCCUUCUUCUUCUUACUGUUCUUCCUGA